rnacentral:rRNA from 1 species
CAGUCGCCGCGGUAAUACGAAGGGUGCAAGCGUUAAUCGGAAUUACUGGGCGUAAAGCGUGCGUAGGCGGUUUGUUAAGUCUGUUGUGAAAUCCCCGGGCUCAACCUGGGAAUGGCAAUGGAUACUGGCUCGCUAGAGUGUGUCAGAGGAUGGUGGAAUUCCCGGUGUAGCGGUGAAAUGCGUAGAGAUCGGGAGGAACAUCAGUGGCGAAGGCGGCCAUCUGGGACAACACUGACGCUGAGGCACGAAAGCGUGGGGAGCAAACAGGAUUAGAUACCCCCGUAGUCCCUGUCUCUUAUAA